rnacentral:rRNA from 1 species
UACGGGGGGGGUAAGCGUUGUUCGGAAUUACUGGGCGUAAAGGGCUCGUAGGCGGCCAACUAAGUCAUACGUGAAAUCCCUCAGCUUAACCGGGGAACUGCUUCCGAUACUGGAUGGCUUGAGUGUGGGAGAGGGAUGCGGAAUUCCAGGUGUAGCGGUGAAAUGCGUAGAUAUCUGGAGGAACACCGGUGGCGAAGGCGGCAUCCUGGACCAUUACUGACGCUGAGUGAGCGAAAGCCAGGGGAGCAAACGGG